ensembl:lncRNA
CACACACACACACCCCCUCACACACACACACCCUCACACCCUCACACACACACACACACACACAUACACACAGACCCAAACACACACUACAUAUUUGAUUUAAUUCCACUACAUUUUCUUUCCUUUCCUUCAUGCUCCAAACUGCUCUCCUCUCCUCACUGGGACUACCCUGUGGUGGUAGAGGUUGCAGUUAAAUACAUUCCUAAGUUCUUACAUAGUUGGUUAAGCAUAAAAGGGACUUUUGUGACCAAGGACAAUUCGAUUUUUGUAGGUAUUUUUCUAAUGUGAAAAACCUAGCAAUGGAGAAUGUUCUGUAGUGCUUCUACAAGAGGGUUAUACCAGUCAACAACUAACUGGAGUUUCCAAGGCAACUUUGAAGGAUAUGACAACAGGUAUUAAACUGUAGAGGGAUAUGAUGUAGAAGGAUAUGGUAACAGAUAUUCAACUGUAGAAGGAUAUGGUGUAGAGGGAUAUGGUAACAGGUAUUAAACUGUAGAAGGAUAUGGUGUAGAAGGAUAUGGUAACAGGUAUUAAACUGUAGAAGGAUAUGGUGUAGAGGGAUAUGGUAACAGGUAUUAAACUGUAGAAGGAUAUGGUAACAGGUAUUAAACUGUAGAGGGAUAUGGUAACAGGUAUUAAACUGUAGAAGGAUAUGGUAACAGGUAUUAAACUGUAGAAGGAUAUGGUGUAGAAGGAUAUGGUAACAGGUAUUAAACUGUAGAAGGAUAUGGUGUAGAAGGAUAUGGUAACAGGUAUUAAACUGUAGAAGGAUAUGGUGUAGAAGGAUAUGACAACAGGUAUUAAACUGUAGAAGGAUAUGGUGUAGAAGGAUAUGGUAACAGAUAUUCAACUGUAGAAGGAUAUGGUGUAGAAUGAUAUGGUAUCAGAUAUUCAACUGUGGAAGGAUAUGGUAACAUAUAUUCAGCUGUAGAAAGAUAUGGUAACAGAUAUUCAGCUGUAGAAAGAUAUGGUAACAGAUAUUCAGCUGUAGAAAGAUAUGGUAACAUAUAUUCAGCUGUAGAAAGAUAUGGUAACAUAUAUUCAGCUGUAGAAAGAUAUGGUAACAGAUAUUCAACUGUAGAAAGAUAUGGUAACAGAUAUUCAACUGUAGAAAGAUAUGGUAACAGAUAUUCAGCUGUAGAAAGAUAUGGUAACAGAUAUUCAGCUGUAGAAAGAUAUGGUAACAGAUAUUCAGCUGUAGAAAGAUAUGGUAACAGAUAUUCAGCUGUAGAAAGAUAUGGUAACAGAUAUUCAGCUGUAGAAAGAUAUGGUAACAGAUAUUCAGCUGUAGAAAGAUAUGGUAACAGAUAUUCAACUGUAGAAGGAUAUGGUAACAGAUAUUCAGCUGUAGAAAGAUAUGGUAACAGAUAUUCAACUGUAGAAAGAUAUGGUAACAGAUAUUCAACUGUAGAGAGAUAUGGUAACAGAUAUUCAGCUGUAGAAAGAUAUGGUAACAGAUAUUCAGCUGUAGAAAGAUAUGGUAACAGAUAUUCAGCUGUAGAAAGAUAUGGUAACAGAUAUUCAACUGUAGAAGGAUAUGGUAACAGAUAUUCAGCUGUAGAAAGAUAUGGUAACAGAUAUUCAGCUGUAGAAGGAUAUGGUAACAGAUAUUCAGCUGUAGAAAGAUAUGGUAACAGAUAUUCAGCUGUAGAAGGAUAUGGUAACAGAUAUUCAGCUGUAGAAGGAUAUGGUAACAGAUAUUCAGCUGUAGAAAGAUAUGGUAACAG